CGAAAAUAUCAUAGACUUAAAGGUAAAAAAUGUAAAAGUUAUACGAGACUCAAAACCUUGCCAAAAUGGAAAAUCAUUUCGAUUGGUUAAAAAGAAAAAGAAAUGGAUGUUGAGUGUGUGGAAAGGAUGUAGAGGAGUUUUCCUGAUUACAUUUCGCAAAACUAACUGUUCAAAGAAAUGUGGACGCAAUGCCUUUUGGAAAGAAAAUAGAAAUAAAGGAGGAAAAUGCCAAUGCAAAACUGGUUAUACAGGAAACCCUACGCAACAAUGUUUAAGAAAAUGCCAAAGAGAGCAAAGGCAAAUAUCCUGUGCCAGCAGAAUCAAAAACGGGAAGGCUGUUCCUUCCACCUGCAAACCGAAUAUUCCGCAGGAUGUAGAAAAUGUACAAAUUGGACUUGUCGAACAAAAUCCUGGCUCAAGUUCUUGCAAGAAGAACAAGUCUUUCAAAUUAAUAAAGAAGCAGAGAGCGUGGCAGGUGGAAGUAAGCAAGGGAUGUCGCGGAGUUUUCAAAGUCACUUAUCAAGAGAAGUUCUGCAACCUGAAAUGCGGUGCCAAUGCCUUUCCGAAAAGGAGAGGCCGCAAAUGUCGGUGUAAGAAAGGCUAUCGCGGAAACCCAAAGACAGGCUGCACAGCUGCCUGCGUGUGUCGUGCAUCCGGAGACCCACAUUACAAAACGUACGACGGGUCGAAAAUUCACUUCAUGGGCAUUUGCAAGUACACGCUGACCAAAACGACCGAGAAGACUCCAUGUGCUUUCAACAUCAUGGUAUCAAAUGAAAGGCGAAACAAUAAAAAGAAAGUGUCAUAUACAAAGCAAGUUGACGUCGAGAUCGGUGGAAGCUACGUGGUGUUGUUCAAAGGCAGAAAAACUGAGGUGAAUGGUACAGGGAUAGAUGUGAGCAAAUCACGCUUCGAGAAAGGUGGUAUUUUACUGACAACAGUUGGACGUCGUUUUGUUAAGCUUCAGUCAGCUUCGUGCGGAGUGACAGUUCUUUGGGAUGGCAAACACUCCGUGGAGGUAACUGCUGAUAGGAGCAAAUACGGCGGAAAGUUGACUGGAAUCUGUGGAGACUGCAACGGAAAGCGGGACGAUUUCCGACUGGCCAACGGAACUAGUGUUUCUCGUUUAAAAGCCAAGGACAAAUACAGAGAGAUCGGGGACAGCUAUCGUGUGGUUGACGCCCAGAAUCCUUUAUCAGCGUGCGGUCCAACACCGGCGUUUUCCAGCUGCACAAAGACGCAGACUGCAAAAUAUAGCAAACCUGAAGCUUGUGGUCUGAUGUCGGACACUUCGGAUCAAAACCCGUUCGGGAAAUGCGUAGAAUGGAUGAAAAAGUCAGAGGAGCCGGACGGAAUCAAUCCGUUCUCAUCAUGUCUCAUUGAUGCCUGCAACAAUGACGGACCUGCACUCAAGAAGAUUGUGUGCUCAGCGCUCGAAGAAUUUGAGGAGCAAUGUGUAGAAAAUGGAUAUGCGCCGCCAGAGAAGAAUGAUUGGAGAAAUAUCACCUCAUGCUCGUUACCCGAGUCUCAAAAGUGCCAAGAAAACGAGGAGUACGUGGAAGAUGGAAGUGGAUGUCCUAACACUUGUCAGUCGCCGAAAUCAGAAGAUACCUGCACCGAUGUCGAUAUCGCCGGUUGCCAAUGCAAGAAAGGUUACGUCAGAGAGGGAGAUAAGUGUGUGCCGUACAGCGAGUGUGGAUGCAUGAUGCAAGGUCGCUAUUAUCCACAAGGAACCUCCAUUCUCUCCAAGAACUGCAAUGUAAAAAUGUCCUGCAAGUUGGUGGGCGGGACACCUGUAGCUGUCAAGGUCGGAAACAGUUGUGGCAAAGGAGAGACAUGCAAAUCCACCAAAGGAAUAGGCAGUUGUCGGAGGAAAGUUGUAGAAAAAUGCCAAAGAAAGCAAAGGCAAAUAUCCUGUGCCAGCAGAAUCAAAAACGGGAAGGCUGUUCCUUCCACCUGCAAACCGAAUAUUCCGCAGGAUGUAGAAAAUGUACAAAUUGGACUUGUCGAACAAAAUCCUGGCUCAAGUUCUUGCAAGAAGAACAAGUCUUUCAAAUUAAUAAAGAAGCAGAGAGCGUGGCAGGUGGAAGUAAGCAAGGGAUGUCGCGGAGUUUUCAAAGUCACUUAUCAAGAGAAGUUCUGCAACCUGAAAUGCGGUGCCAAUGCCUUUCCGAAAAGGAGAGGCCGCAAAUGUCGGUGUAAGAAAGGCUAUCGCGGAAACCCAAAGACAGGCUGCACAGCUGCCUGCGUGUGUCGUGCAUCCGGAGACCCACAUUACAAAACGUACGACGGGUCGAAAAUUCACUUCAUGGGCGUUUGCAAGUACACGCUGACCAAAACGACCGAGAAGACUCCAUGUGCUUUCAACAUCAUGGUAUCAAAUGAAAGGCGAAACAAUAAAAAGAAAGUGUCCUAUACAAAGCAAGUUGACGUCGAGAUCGGUGGAAACUACGUGGUGUUGUUCAAAGGCAGAAAAACUGAGGUGAAUGGUACAGGGAUAGAUGUGAGCAAAUCACGCUUCGAGAAAGGUGGUAUUUUACUGACAACAGUUGGACGUCGUUUUGUUAAGCUUCAGUCAGCUUCGUGCGGAGUGACAGUUCUUUGGGAUGGCAAACACUCCGUGGAGGUAACUGCUGAUAGGAGCAAAUACGGCGGAAAGUUGACUGGAAUCUGUGGAGACUGCAACGGAAAGCGGGACGAUUUCCGACUGGCCAACGGAACUAGUGUUUCUCGUUUAAAAGCCAAGGACAAAUACAGAGAGAUCGGGGACAGCUAUCGUGUGGUUGACGCCCAGAAUCCUUUAUCAGCGUGCGGUCCAACACCGGCGUUUUCCAGCUGCACAAAGACGCAGACUGCAAAAUAUAGCAAACCUGAAGCUUGUGGUCUGAUGUCGGACACUUCGGAUCAAAACCCGUUCGGGAAAUGCGUAGAAUGGAUGAAAAAGUCAGAGGAGCCGGACGGAAUCAAUCCGUUCUCAUCAUGUCUCAUUGAUGCCUGCAACAAUGACGGACCUGCACUCAAGAAGAUUGUGUGCUCAGCGCUCGAAGAAUUUGAGGAGCAAUGUGUAGAAAAUGGAUAUGCGCCGCCAGAGAAGAAUGAUUGGAGAAAUAUCACCUCAUGCUUGACUGCGUCACCUCUCAUUUCCAGCGUUACCCGAGUCUCAAAAGUGCCAAGAAACGAGGAGUACGUGGAAGAUGGAAGUGGAUGUCCUAACACUUGUCAGUCGCCCAAAUCAGAAGAUACCUGCACCGAUGUCGAUAUCGCCGGUUGCCAAUGCAAGAAAGGUUACGUCAGAGAGGGAGAUAAGUGUGUGCCGUACAGCGAGUGUGGAUGCAUGAUGCAAGGUCGCUAUUAUCCACAAGGAACCUCCAUUCUCUCCAAGAACUGCAAUGUAAAAAUGUCCUGCAAGUUGGUGGGCGGGACACCUGUAGCUGUCAAGGUCGGAAACAGUUGUGGCAAAGGAGAGACAUGCAAAUCCCACCAAAGGAAUAGGCAGUUGUCGGAGGAAAGUUGUAGAAAAAUGCCAAAGAAAGCAAAGGCAAAUAUCCUGUGCCAGCAGAAUCAAAACGGGAAGGCUGUUCCUUCCACCUGCAAAACCGAAUAUUCCGCAGGAUGUAGAAAAUGUACAAAUUGGACUUGUCGAACAAAAUCCUGGCUCAAGUUCUUGCAAGAAGAACAAGUCUUUCAAAUUAUAAAGAAGCAGAGAGCGUGGCAGGUGGAAGUAAGCAAGGGAUGUCGCGGAGUUUUCAAAGUCACUUAUCAAGAGAAGUUCUGCAACCUGAAAUGCGGUGCCAAUGCCUUUCCGAAAAGGAGAGGCCGCAAAUGUCGGUGUAAGAAAGGCUAUCGCGGAAACCCAAAGACAGGCUGCACAGGUGGAAGGAACAGCCUUCCCGUUUUUGAUUCUGCUGGCACAGGAUAUUUGCCUUUGCUUUCUUUGGCAUUUUUCUACAACUAA
rnacentral:sRNA from 1 species